rnacentral:rRNA from 1 species
GACGAACGCUGGCGGCGUGCCUAAUACAUGCAAGUAGGACGCAGUUGCGAACGGGUGAGUAACGCGUAGGUAACUACCUAUUAGAGGGGGAUAACUAUUGGAAACGAUAGCUAAUACCGCAUACUAGUAGAUAGACCUGCGUUGUAUUAGCUAGUAGGUAGGGUAAUGGCCUACCUAGGCAACGAUACAUAGCCGACCUGAGCGGGUGAACGGUCACACUGGGUCUUGGACACGUCCCAGACUCCUACGGGAGGCAGCAGUAGGUGAUCGACUGCAAUGGGGGUAACCCUGACCGAGCAACGCCGCGUGAGUGAGGACGGUUUUCGGAUCGUAAAGCUCUGUUGUUAAGGAAGCGGUACUUAACCGGAAAGGGACGGGUAACUACGUGCCAGCAGCCGCGGUGAUAC